rnacentral:lncRNA from 1 species
UGGGACCCGUGCGCGUAGGACGGAGCCCUGGGAGCCGGCCAGCAGCGACUCACCCGGCACAGCGCCCUGCCAAAGGCUCGUCAGAAGGUGACAAUGACCAGAAAAUGGGUCACUGCUGGCGCCAGACGAGGGGCUUAACGACACAGACCUCCCCGAGGCUCGCCAAAGCAGGGGCAGCCCCUACUGUUUUUUGCCUACAACGGGGCGCGUGCCUUUCAGCAGCUCAAACAAGGGGGGAUUUGCCGAAGCUGAGGCGUGCCUGCCUUGAAACAACCCAAAUUAUAUCGGUGGUCGCCAAAUCUAAGGCACAGUUGCCUUUAAACAAUUCACAGCAAACCGAGUAUGAAAAGAAAGAAACCCGACCCGCUGCUAAGGAAGAUGUGGGAAGGAUGAAGCGGAUGUGUCUGACACCGCAGGAUGGGGGGAGCUCUAGGAAAUACUUCUGCCAACAGUUUACUCUCUUAGAAAUGUGUGUGUUGGCCAACAGCAAGUGAUGAGUGAAGCGUGGCUGUGCCUGAUGGAUCUGUGCUGCUGUGCAAGCCAGGCUUCAGUCCCAGCGCCGUGCUGUGAGCCUGCAGCUGGGGGAGUACACAGCCACCAGCUCCUGCCCCACACAAACGUCCUGCACUGAGGAAAGCAGUUGGGAUGUUGGGAUGCUGGGAUAUUGGGAUGCUGGGAUCCUGGGAUAUUGGGGUUCUGAGAUGGUGGGAUGCUGGGAUGUUGGAAUAUUAGGAUGUUGGGAUGCUGAGAUGUUGGGAUAUUGGGAUGCUGGGAUGUUGACAUAUUGGGAUGUUGGAAUAUUGGGAUGUUGAGAUGCUAGGAUACUGGGGUUCUGAGAUGGUAGGAUGGUGGGAUGUUGAAAUGCUGGGAUAUUGGGAUGCUGGUCUAUUGGGACGUUGGGAUAUUGGGGUGCUUGCGUGUUGGAAUGUUGGGGUGUUAGAAUGUGAGAGUGUAGGGAUAUUGGGGUGCUAGUAUGAUGAGAAGUUGGGAUGCUGGGAUAUAGGAAUGCUGGCUUGUUGGGAUGCUGAGAUUUUGGGAUAUGAAGAUGUUAGGAUGCUGGAAUGUUGGGAUGUUGGGAUGCUGGGAAAUUAGGAUGUUGGGAUAUUGAGAUGCUGGUCUAUUGGGAUGUUGGGAUAUUGGGGUGCUUGUGUGUUGGAAUUCUGGGGUGUCAGAAUGUGAGAGUGUAGGGAUAUUGGGGUGCUAGUAUGAUGAGAAGUUGGGAUGCUGGGAUAUAGGAAUGCUGGCUUGUUGGGAUGCUGAGAUUUUGGGAUAUGAAGAUGUUAGGAUGCUGGAAUGUUGGGAUGUUGGGAUGCUGGGAAAUUGGGAUGUUGGGAUAUUGGGGUGCUUGUGUGUUGGAAUUCUGGGGUGUUAGAAUGUGAGAGUGUAGGGAUAUUGGGGUGCUAGUAUGAUGAGAUGUUGGGAUGCUGGGGUAUAGGAAUGUGGCUUGUUGGGAUGCUGAGAUUUUGGGAUAAGAAGAUGUUAGGAUGCUGGAAUGUUGGGAUGUUGGGAAAUUGGGAUGUUGUGAUGUUGAGAUGCUGCCAUGUUGGCAUACUGAGGUGCUGGGUUGCUGAAAUGAUGAGAUGUUGCAUUGCUGGGAUAUUAGGAUGCUGAGAUUUCACAGUAUGAGGGGUUGCUGUCACACCCUGUUCCCGGGUUUAUUUUGCCCAGCAAGAAGACAGUGACAAUGGUGCACUUCACUGACACAGAUCAGGUGCACCAAAACAAUUCAUUAAACAUAUUCUGAGCAAGCUGCUGCACACAUGAUCUAUAAUCACGUAUAUUCUAAGCAAACAGUGUAUUAGCCUAUGACUAAUCUGUAUUCUGGAGCAGAGGGGAGGUAAAUUAGAGCAGGUAAGGGUAUAAUAACAGGUUGGGUAUGGUUAUACAAAUUCUGGGGAAGGUAAAUUAGGGUAGGAAAUGUUACAGAGCCUCUCUCAUCAGUGCAUCUGUCAUGAGAAGGGGCCCAAGGGCGGGGGAACUUGAAAGCUGGAGGGUCUCAGGAUGGCUGAGGGGAGCUUCAAAAGCUGUCCUCCAGUGUCCUGACUUUAAAGCCCUUUUACACGUGGUUUGCCAGAACAAGCAGGGAAGCAGGGGGUGAUGAACUUCUACAAGGUAUGCAGACUAAGAUAUAAGCAGGGGUACGAAAAACACAUGACUCUGCAGAAAGGCAGAGGAACUUCCAUUGGUUCAGUUCCCAAAACCGCGUGGGGUUGUUUCCAUGUUAAUCAUCUCGUGGCGUUAUGGUCUCUGUGCUUUUGCCAAAGGAGACACUUUCUCUUUUCUCUGAUAACUUCUGGUCAUAGCUCAGGCCCCAGACAUGAGUACCAGGCCUCACGUUGUCAGGCAUAAAUAAGGUGAGACGAGUGAUGGAGGCAUAGCUAUGGCCUUAUCUGACUGUGCAGCUACGGGCAAGUCUCAUUAUCAACUAGAGGAUGGCUAAUAAACCUAUACCCAUCCUCAUUCUCCAGUAUUGCAAGACCUCUCCCCUUCUUCAGCAGCUAUGCUUGGGCCACAAUCCACAGUUGCAAUGCUGGAAUGAUGGAAUAUUGGAAUGCUGGGACAUUGAAAGGCUGAGAUGCUGGGAUGCUGAGGUGUUCAGAUGCUGGGAUAUUGGAAUGCUGAGAUUUUGAGAUGCUGAGUUGUUGGGAUGGUGGGAUGCUGAGCUGUUGAGAUGUUGGGAUGCUCAAAUAAUGAGAUGUUGGGAUAUGGAGAUGCUGAGAUGCUCCCUGGUGAAGCAGUCUUCACUGAGUUCUUGGAAUAACAGGGCACGUGGAGGCAGAUGACUGCAGAACAUCUAUUUAAUGAGGUCUCACAGGCUUCCCUACAUCUCUUUGCAAGCUCCUGCAAGUCUGGGAUGGAGGAUUUAUUGCUUGAAGUAAGAAUUACAGCACAUAACACUGACCUUGGCUGCCUGGGAGCAGGAGAGCACUCUCCAUGUUUGCACUCAGUUUUACGUCCAUCUCCCAGUCUGAAGAGUGGGCUCAUCUGCACUGCUCGUGCACAACCACAUCACUCACGCACAAAUUCAUCACUUGUGCACAACUGUGUCACCCUUGCAGAACCUGCACAUCUCCGGGCAUGUGCUUGGCUGCCUUUAGGGCUGCAGACAAGACCUGGUUAUGCAUUUCUGACACGAUGUGCCUGUCCUGCUGUCACUCUGCGUCACCAGAUGGCACUGCUGCUGUCAGCUGGAGGAAAUGACCUGUGCCACACACAGUGAUGGUGGUGCAGAUAAAAGCCGAGGAACAAGCCUGGAAAGCCUACCUGCCUCUUUAAACAGCACAGAUAAAGCAGAACUGAAGAAUUUUGAAGCACAUUUAACCCACGUUACAUUAUUUUCCCUGCCAGCCCCAUGCAACAUCACCAAGGUAGCAGCCCCUCACCACGGCACAGCACCAACGCUGGGCAGCCCAGAGAGCCCCACAUCCCAGCUACCCCCCAGAGCACCCCUCCAUCUCAGUGCCAUUUCCUAAAGGCUUUGCAGGCCGUCUCCUUUGCGCAGCGCUGGCAUCAGCACAGGACAAUGCCAAAGGGGAAGCAGCAAGCCAGCAUGCCGGGGUUUGGCUGGCUCCAGCCUUUCGCACAGAUUAAUAGCAGACUGACCACGGGGAGAUGCAAUUUGGUCGUAAUUUAUUUUGUUUUAAGGGCCUAAUAACUUCCAG